UACAGUUUUACUCAUCUACUUUCCACUAUGGCAAUAAACACUUAAAAACCACGGACUGUCUCUUUUCAUUAGGACCCUCUAUGGGGAGCCACAGAGAAGGACUUCACCUAAAUAGUCUAGUCUUUCUGUGCUCCCAGCAGCAGCAGCAGCAGCAGCAGCAGCAGCAGCAGCAGCAGCAGCAGCAGCAGCAGCAGCAGCAGCAGCAGCAGCUACCAAGCUCAAGCCCAGCGCUGCCCAAACAGACAAUGCUUCCCCACCCCUGGAAUGGUGUCCCACAGCUUUCCACAGGCCAUUACCACCAAGUGGUGGCAUGAGAUUGGAGCCUACCAUAAUCAUCAUCAGAGAGGAAUCAUCUAGCAACUGAUUGAAGAAGCCAGACAUUAGCUGGAGUAUGGGGAAUUCUGAGGAAGAGUGAAAGAAAAGAUUGUAGAGACAAGAGGAGUCAAGAACACCAAAGGAAAUCCAAAGAAGCAAUUAACCUGGACUCAUAUGGACGCACAGAGACUGAACUAACAAUCACAAAGGCUGUAAGGCUGCAUAUAUCUGACUUAGUUUCUCUCUCUCUCUCUCUCUCUCUCUCUCUCUCUCUCUCUCUCUCGCUCUCUCUCUCUCUUUCUCUUUAUAUGUAUAUAUAUACAUAUAUAUAUAUAUAUAUAUAUGUUAUAGUUAUAUAGCUUACUCUUGGUAUUCCUGUGGGAGUAAUAACUGUGGGAGCCGGAGCUGUUUCUGACUCUUUCUAUUAUUCUUCAUACUGGGAUAUCACAACUAGCAUUAAUAAGAGAGAAGAUGUCUCUUCUUUGGGAAAUUAAUAUUCUAUGAUUGGUUGAUAUCUCUGAAAGAUCUAACCUUUUCUGAAGAGAAAUGUAGGAGAACUAAAUCUUGGAGGGGAGAUAAGAUAGGGUGGGGGAAUGGAAGGAGAAAGGGGAGGGAAAACAUGAUAACUAAUGUUAUAUAUGAGAGAAGAAUAAAUAAUUAAUAAAAAACCUUGUGUUAAUUUGACCCCCUUGUUUUUUAUAGGUAAGGACUUCUUUUUUUUAUUUUUCGGAGCUGGGGACCGAACCCAGGGCCUUCCGCUUGCUAGGCAAGUGCUCUACCACUGAGCUAAAUCCCCAAGCCCUAGGUAAGGACUUCUUAAGAGUACGUGACCAUUUGUGUCUAGAAUGUUGCUAUUCACAGAUUUUCUUGAUAAGCCUAGUACAAUCUACUGUGUAUUAAAAUACAAACAACUGUUAUCUUUGAUUAUCUUGUAGUUAAAAUGUACAUUUUUAUUGUUGCACUAUGUUCAAUUUGUUCUUGGUACACUCAAUUUUAAUUUUUUUCUGUGAAAUAGAAUAGUAAUACAGCAUCACCAUCUUAAGAUAAAUUUUAAGCCUUAAACAACAUAAAAAAAGAUUUAUCAACUAGGUCUGGAGUUCUUUCUUUCUGUGUACUUUUAAUUCAAGAAACAAUGAACAGUUUAUUUGGACCACAUAGUAUGUAGAAGACAGGUCAAAUAUUAAAAAGAUCCAAAAAUGGUGAGCCAAUUAAUAGGGUCAAUGCAGAACUAUGAGUGUUCUGACACAAAUGCAGCUAUAUUACCCAAAAGACCAAAAACAAUGUUGCAGAGAGGUCCUAAAAGCUGAAGUCCUUCAGUUAUCUAAACAGUGUGAAGGCAAUUCCAAUAGUAAUUUUGAUUCUUUCUUUUUAAUCUUUUGUUUUAACACUCCAGAUUUAUACCCCUCCCAGACCACCCUCUCACUGUUCUACAUCCCAUACCUCCUUUCCCUGUCUCCAUGAGGAUGUCUCCACACCCCACACCCCACACCCCACCUCCCACCAGACCCCCUCACUCCCUGGGUCUUCCAGUCUCUUGAGGGUUAGAGGCAUCUUCUCUGACUGAGUCCACACCCAAUAGUGCUCUGCUGUAUAUGUGUUGGAGGCCUCAUACUGACUUGUGUUUGCUGCUGGGUUGAGGCCCAGCAUCUGAGAGAUCUUGGGGUUCCAAGUUAGAGGAGACUGUGGGUCCUCCUACAGGGUUUUUCUAUUCCUUAGCUUCUUCCAGCUUUUCGCCAAUUCAACCACAGGGUCAUUAGCUUCUGUCCAUUUGUUGGGUGAAAAUAUCUAUAUCUGACGCUUUCAGAGGGCAGUCAUGAUAGGACCUUUGUGUGAUUACUUAAUAGCCUCAGAUGUAGUAUCAGGCCUUGGGUCCUCCCCUUAAGCUAGAUCCCACUUUGAGCCUGUCGCUGGACUUAUUUCAUGUAAAUAUUGCACUAUGUAACUUCUCUUGACUGCUAUUUUACUAUUAAACCUAGAAGAUCCACAUGAACUAGAAAUUUACAACUUAAUUCUCCCUAUUAAAGAUGCAUUCAGGGACUACAGGAGAUAGCCCACAUAGAGGGAUUAUAUCAGGUUAGUCUGAGUUUAUUUAUCCAAGUCCCACACCAAAAGCAAUCAAACUCAACAAUAAGACCGUUUUACUGAAUCCUAGAAAGGAGCUAACAAAUGGAACAGGACAAUGGGCCUCUGGACAAAUACUACUAGGGAAGUAACCCUCUCUUCACUAUGAAUUAACAAAUGACAAUGUUAAGGCCUCCACAAUCAUCUGUUUUUGUCCUUGUUGUCCUUUUAAAGUUUAUUAUAAACUCUCCUAAUGACUUAGUAAGUAUCACUUAUGCCUACUCAAUGAAAAAGCUCCCAAGGAUUCUAUAAUACUCCCUAAACAUUGCUUGUUUUGCGAACAAAUUUAUUAACCAUGUAUUGUUCAAGUACAUAUUGAUAUCUCUUAGAAGAUUCUCCAAGUAUGCAAACCACACAAAGAUUAGAAUUAUGCUAUCUAUGUAGUAAACUGAAAAACCUUAUAUAGAGGAUGGGCAAAGCAAAUAGGCAAAUCCCUGAGCCACCAUCAUAUAAUUAACACUGUGAUUGUCAAUAUGAUGUACUUGAGGCAUUUUGAAAGUACACUGUUAGGUGUACUGAGGAAAUGUCAGAAAAUUUAUAGAUAAUAAGCUCCUAUCAUCAUUUAUAAGACAGAUCUACUAGAGGAUGAGUAGAUUUGAUCUAUAAGCAUCGACAGUCUCUUCCCUACAUCAAUGUUGAUUAAAAUACAAUGAAUAUAAUGCACUAACUUGGUUAGUUAUAAGAAAAAUCAAAAAAGUAUAUUCAUCAUCCCUGAGCCAUUAUACUUCUCUCCUGUAGAGCUCUUCAGUGUAGCUUUCCAUUUUCCCACCUAAGAGUGAAUUAUUAUACCUGGAUCCUAUUGUCCUUCUACUCCUUAUACCAGCUUUACAUCAUAGGGACCAUUCACUUCUGCCUACAUCUGGCAAGGUCUAUAUAGUUUAUAUUACUAGGGUUGCAGAAUGAUUGUUAUUCUAAGGUAGACUGUGUCUUUACAAUGCAAUACAUCAUGCCAUGGUUUGUUAUACCCAGAUAUCCCUUGGAAGUACUACUAUUUUCUCCACCAAUUAAAUACCCCUCAAGUACUAUGGAUGGACCUCUUCAAAUGAAAGACUUAUAUGUCUUUAUAUAGACAUUACACAAACAAACCUUGAGCCCACAGUCUCAUGGAUGUGCAGUAUAAAAUAAUUUGGAAGGUAUAUAUUAAUGAGUUGGUCAUGUUGACAAAAUUGGCUAUUGGUAAACAAAUAGCAAUGAAUAGUUGUUCACCCAAUGGUUAGAGUUUUAUUCCUUAGCCUUUCUUUAUCAUGGAUAAAAUUUCCUGAAUAUAUUUUUGAUCCGUAGAGCCUCCUGCAAUAUCAUUAGAAGAAAAUUUGGCUUUCGUUCAUUUAUCAUUGCCACAUUGAUUUUCUACCUUAUGUUCACUCUUUACUUGCUGGUCAUAAUCUAUUAUUUAUUUAUAAUAUAAAAUACAAUGAAAAGUCUAAAUAAAGCAUAAAGUUAUGGCUGAAUCAAUUUCUUUAAUAAUUUUCCACUGUAGAAUGUAAUAUUAAUAUCAGUGAUCUAGGUAUCAUACACCGUUUUUUCUCAAUCUAGUUCUUUCAAGUGUGUCUGUCCCAUGUCUUUUGUUUUCUAGCCUGUGACCUCCAAGCACCAAUGUCAUGCCUAAGUUUCUCUAAUGGAUGAUAUGAAACAGUUCAUCAGGAAUAUAUUCCUCUUGAAUUUCCUCAAUGUAUACAACAUUUGUCUCCAAUUGCGUCAAGUUAUAUAAUGAAAUAUGUUUAUACAGCUCAGUUUACAUGCUUCCACAGCUUUCAAACUAGGCAUUCUUUUACAAGUUUCCAACAGACAAAGGAGAAAAUGUGUAAAAGAGUCUUUGUUUUAUUAAAGUGUUUACUUUCUAGCAAAUUAAGUGUUUUAAUAUCAUUGAUUAUAACUGUUUCUGGAAUCUGAACAAAAUUAAAGCUACUAUAGGCAUGGAGACUCUGAUUUUCCAGUUCUAUGUGUCACAGUGGAUGUAAGUUAUCUACUUUUCUAUGUCUCUCUCUUAAUCAUUGAUGCAUGACUUUUCAAUGGAAUCCAUAUUGGGGGAACAAAAGUGCCCUCUUUAUUAUUGAUCUAAUAUGAAAUCUCUUAUAGUUUUUUUACCAGGAGAUUAAAAAAAAUCAUCAAAUAUCUACAUUACACCUCUUUUAUCCUAUUCCUCAACAUAUCUGUUCAAAUACUAAAGAUUUCAGUUGAAUAUUCCUUGUUCCACAAUUUAUAACUUAUGCCAGCAGUCUCUUUCACCAGGGAUGUGAGCUUACCCAGGCACAGGUUGCUUACUUAGUACACAUAGCAGGAGGCCAGAUGCUUCUUUCUCUACACAAUACUUUUUCAAUAUCAUUUUAUUCUCAAAGCAGAGGGCAAACAGUUACCCAUGAAUCAUAAUAUCUACUAUAUAGCACAUGAAUAAAGAUUGCUGCCCUGUGAAUUACACUAGAGGAAUUAUCUAGGAGAGUGGCCUCCCAUUAUUUACUCAUUACCAUAGCAAUAUACUAGCCAUGCUAUAACCACUAAACCCACCAAACUGAAUGGGAAGAAAUAAGCAUGCAGAAGUUCUCUACAAACUCUAUUCCCUCAACCAUGCCUCAGGUGUCCCUCUUAUUUUAUACCUCAAGAAGAGUAUCUAUUCUUAUUCAAACUCAUACUUAGUUUUUCAUUAGGUCCAAUCUACCUCACAUGCUACUAAAAUCCUAUCCUUUAAUGAGAAUUGUAAAUAAUGUCUAAUAUUUUCCUAGUGUACCAAGGGUGAAAAAAAUGCACAAUACUACUUACAUUUGCUCUUAGGAGCAACUGGGGUUCUUAGCCUUAUUUGCAAAGUAUAGUAGAAGAAAGUACUUUUCAAGCAAGGAGGAUGGAUUUCUCAUUGAUAUAUAUCAUUCUCUAACUAGUUUUCCCUGGCAUUAUACCCUAAGGAGCCAAUGCACUUUUAGUGAAAAUUUUGGCAUGAGAUUUGAGGUGGAGAGGCUGAAUAGACAGGGAAGGAUCUCUUAUAAUGAUUAUUUUUCUAUAUGUGAAUGGAAAUAGUCAUCAAGGUAGUUUUUAAACAAGCUUGCACAGCUCAACUCUCCAAGCAUCAGUUGUAAGGCUUAACAUCUUAGUUCUGUGUAAGACAGAAGCUUGCAGAAAUCGCAGAGAAACAACUCAAUAAUCAGACAAAGCUAAGAGCCUGGGUAAAGGCUCCGUCACAGGUUUGAACUUGGUGUUCAUCACAUUCCUGUCUGCUCCCCAGAGAGCCGUUUGAAAGACUUGAGGAGUAAGCGGGCCUACAUCUUUUCACUGAGUGUGGGAGCAGACAAUAGAAUCUACUUCCAUGCCGUUCACGUGCCUUUAAAUUAACAUGGUAGAGUUUCAUAGGAACGGUAGGUCACAGCUAUCUGACUCUGUUCAGUUUUGAAAGAAUUGCGCCUCCCUUCCUUAUUAUGUUUUACUAUGCUAAGGUGUGAAAUCACCUCAGAUAGAAAAGUUGUGUGAAGAAGAGGACAGGAAUGAAGCUAGAUACUACACAUCUCUUAUAAAAAGGGCAGCAAAAAUUUAGAAGGGGAACUACCCCAAGUAUUCAGCACAGAGAAGGCUGCUUUCAGAUAUCCAGUGGUAAAGUUGUUCUUCUUGUACUCCUGGCAGUGAACGACGGAGUUCAUCUACCCAAGAACCACCCAUCGGUUGCUUGUAGUAGAUCCUCUGAAAAAGCUUCUUUUAUCAAAUUCUAGUACACUUAAAUAAUUCUUAAUAAGUCCAGGACGGUAUAUAUACCCAGCAAUCCAAAAAUCACCUGAAGUAAGUUUAACCUUUGAUAUCGUUUUCUCUAAUUCAUAAGAUGUAAGCAAGAAAGUAAGGGAUGAGUCAAUAAUUUACCAUAUGUACCUAUAUUAUUUAUAUAAUAGAGAGCUCAGCUUACUUCUAUACACGCAAGUAGAAAGGAAAAGAAAACAUUAAAUUCCAUGUGCAUGAUACAGCAGAAACAAAAGCAUCAUGGAUAAAAUUCCAUCUCAUACAGAUUUUAAAGGUGGUAGCCUAAUCAGUCUUGUUAGGCAAGAAGAGUAAGUUGUAAGACCCACUGGGACACUUACUUGUCCAAUUUUACACCAAAGCUACCAUAGCCUGUUUGCUUUUAGUUGUUACAUGCAGCUACUUACCUAGCACCUGGGUCUGAAAAUGUUGCAAAUUAGCAGGGACUUUGAAGUUUUAGCCAUUUUAGAGUUAGACUCAUUAAACUGGGGAAACAGUUACGUUUACUUUAGAGAAAGGAAACUUAUUUUCCUCUUAUGCUGACUAUUAUAGAGUUUCAGGGAAAACCCAUUGUUUCAUGUAUGUAGGCAACCUUUCUUUGUACAGGAUAUUUGAUUGCACUGUGAACAGGGAGAUUGUGUUAUUUAGUGAAAAAAGCCGUUUUAUUCCUUAGCACACAUCUAUAUUCCCUCAGAUUGGAAUACAGACUUGCCCUUAGUAACAUACUUAUUCCCAUAUAAUCAAGUUAAUAUCAUCAUAUCUCCAUGGGUAGGUCUUCCUGUGACUUACUCUAUUCCAGAUUAUUUUUCAUCUCCCAGAUGUCUCACUUUCUAUUUCCUCCCUAAGCUAUAGGACACAUGCUUUUUAAUUGACAGAUGAUGCUUCCACAUAAUAAACAAUAUAUUCCCACUACAAUAAGUAAAAUAUGAGCAUAUGUUUUUAUUUAAAAAUCAGUGGCCCUAGAGAAAUUUAGAUUUUCUCACAAUUUCUUUUAAUGGGACUUUAUUUCUUUGUGAGGAAAAGACUGAAUGUUCUUUUCAUAAAUCUAACAGUUUUAUCAGACCAUACAAGUCAUUGUUACUGGCAACAAGUAAACUGGGGAUGGUGAAAAGACUUCCCAGUGUGUUUAAGAUACCUGUUUCAAGAUCAGCAAUUUGCUAAGCACUCUUUUUUCAGACUGCUUUUCUUUGAAAGCACAUUUUCAUACAUACCUUUCCCACCACCCCCAUUACAUAGUGAACAUUCAUCUAUAUUACAGAAAAGAAUCAAAUCCAGAGACCUGACCAAAAAGGGGGCACAGAUGUAAACUCACUGUUCUCAAAACAGGAAUAUCAAAAGCUUACAGACACUUAAAGAAAUAUUCAACAAACUUAGCCAUCAGGGAAAUGAAGAUGAAAAAUCAAUUACUAUUUCAUCUUAUACCAGUAAGAAUGGUUUUGAACAACAAAAAAGAGAGAGCUAAUACUGAAAAUGAUAUAGAAUAAGAGGAAUUCUCAAGCAUUGCUUAUGGCAAUGCAACCUCAUAGAUCCACUGUGAAAAUUCUGAGUUACCUCACUCAGGACGAUAUUUUCUAUUUCCCUUCUUUUGCCUAAGAGUUUCAUGAUGUCAUUGAUUUUAAUAACUGAGUCAUACUAAAAUAGUAAAUAGGAAAUAGUAGUUAUAAAAAUGUAUCUUUUUGUCUGUAUCCAUUCUCCUUUUUAAGGUCAUCUGGGUUCUUUCCAGCUUCUGGCUAUUAUAAAUAAGGCUGCUAUGAACAUAGUGGAUCACGUGUCUUUGUUAUAUGUUGGGGCAUCUUUUGGGUAUAUGCCCAAGAGUGGUAUAGUUGGGUCUGCAGGUAGUACUAUGUCCAAUUUUCUGAGGAACCACCAGAAUGAUUUCCAGAGUAGUUGUAUCACCUUGAAAUACCACCAACUAGAUAAUAUUAUCCUGAGUGAGGUAACCCAAUCGCAAAAGAAUACACAUGGCAUGCAUUCCCUGAUAAGUGGAUAUUAGCCCCAAAUCUGAAUACCCAAGAUACAAUUCACAAACAAGAUGAAGCUCAAGAAGAAGGAAAACCAAAAUUUGGAUGCUUCAGUCCUUCUUUGAAAGGGGAACAAAAUACUCAAGGGAAAUAUAUGGUAGUAGGAACUUGGGAGGGAGAGAAGAGGGGGAGGGGGGAAAUGAGGCAGGAUCUGGUAUGGGAGGAGGCAAGGAUAAUAUAUAGAUGAUCAGGAAUUUGAACAGAUUUUUUUUAUUUUUUUUGGUUCUUUUUUUCAGAGCUGGGGACUGAACCCAGGGCCCUGCACUUCCUAGGCAAGCGCUCUACCACUGAGCUAAAUCCCCAACUUGAACAGAUUUUUAUAGCAACAGGAGAAGGGUAACUAGGGCUAGCCACCAGCAAGUCCCAGAUGCUAGGAAAGCAAGUGGCUUCCAGGACCCAAAGGGGAUGAGAUUAGCUGAAAUGCCCAACAAAAGAGAGGGAGAACCUCUAGAAACCAUAUCUAGAGGCUGGCCAAGGUCCCUGUUUGGGACAUGGGAUCACCUACUUAUCUAGAAUAUUUUAACUCACAAUGCCUCCUGUCUAAAGGGAAUAUGGGGGCAAACUGUGGGACAGAGCCUGGAGGAAAGGCCACCUGGGAUCCAAUACCAUAUACAGACAACAGAUCCAGACACUAUUGUGAAUGUCAAGAGAUGCCUGCUGAAAAGAUUCCUGUUAUAAGUGUCUCCUGAGAUGCUCUGCCAGAGCCUGACAAAUACAGAAGUAUAUUCUCACUGGCAACCAUUGGACCAAGCAAAGGGACCCCAAUGGAGGAAUUAGGAAAAAGGACUUAAGGAGCUGAAGGGGUUUGCAACCCCAUAGGAAGAAAAACAAUAUCAACUAACCAGACCUCCCACCCAGAGCUCCUGUGAUCUAAACCACCAACCAAAAUGUACACAAGGCAAGACCCAUAGCUCCAGCCACAUAUGCAGCAGAGAAUGACAUUGUCUAGCAUCAAUAGGAGGAGAGGCCCUUGGUUCUGUGAAGGCUCGAUGCCCUAGUGUAGAAGAAUGCUAUGGCAGUGAUAUAAGAAGAUAUGGGUGGGAGGUGGAGUACAUUCACAGAAGCAGUGGGAAGGGGGAAUGGUUUAGGGGUAUUCUGGAGGUGAAACUGGGAAAGGGGAUAACAUUGAAAUGUAAAUACUUAACAUAUUCAAUGAAAAUAUAAAUAAAUAAAAUAACCAAUAAAAAUCCAAACACAACAAAAUUCUGCAGGAGUGACUCAGGAAGAUAGAAAGCCAUUUAACACAAGAUUGAUCUAUACCACUCUUGAAUAUAUGGUUUUUAGCUUUAUGUCAAUGACAGCCAAGCUAUAAUCCUUAGAACAAGAAAUGAUAAGUCCCUUCUUUUACCUUCAUCAGAGACACUUCAGUAGAUGGAAAGGAAUAUAGAAACAAGCAGCCAGAUAUUAUUAAGCACAGAGUGAGAAACCUGAAAUUCUCAGACCUCAAUGAGGUGUCAUCAUCAAGCCCUUUGCCUCUAAGAUCAAGGACCCCUACCAUUGAGGAAGCAAAACAUGGUUUCAGAGCCAUGGGCCUGGGGGACACGAAGAAAACAAAGCACACUAAAUCAUGAUAAACAAAGCUAAUAGGAACCACAUAGGGAGAAGUACUAUUAGGAGAUGUGGCCUUGGAGUAGAUUUGUCACUCUGGAUGUGGGCUUAACACCUUCAUCCUUCCUUUGCCUGCACCAUGCCUGACUAGAUGCUGCUAUGCUCUCACCUUGACAAUGGACUGAACCUCUAAACCUCCAAGCUAUCCCCAAAUGUAUGUUGUCCUUUAUAAGAAUUUCUUUGGUCUUGGUGUAUGUUCAGAGCAGUAAAACCCUAAGACAAUGUAUAACAAAAAGAAAGACCUAGAAGGUUUUGGCAGACACAAGUCAUAUGCAUUGAUUUACUUAUGCUAUGUUUUCACUAUGUUAAUAUAAUGCAAUUUUAUUAAUAAAAUAUAUUAAUAUACUUUGUGAUCAUAUUAUUGUUGAUUAAUCAAUCUCAAUAGCAGGUUAGUAAUUUAUUUUCAUUAGAAUAAUAUAUUUUUAAAUAAAUAAACAUAAUUGGUUAAUAAAAUACAAGUGAACUUGAUGCAUGAAGGGAGUAAUUUGGAGGGUAUUACCAUUACUAAUUGGGGUUACAUGCAUAGUUUCAUGUAGGAGUGUUGGCCUUGCAUGUAUUAGACAAGAGGUGCUAUCUCAUCAUGAAAAUAUGAUCUUGUGUUAAUAUUUUGAUGAGAUCUGGUCAUGAUACACAAUGUACAAUUCAUCAACUUUUUAAGAAUUCAGAAUAUUAUAAAAGGCAGGGUCAAAUUGAAAUGUAUACCUGUACCAUAGGGUUUCUAUUUCUGGCUACAGACACUAUAUAACCAAUUGUGUCAGCCUGAUUCCUACCCCAUCUAUAUCUGUACUAAGUCCAUACCUGUCCUUCCAUUAUGGAAUAUAUCAUUAGAGUUUGUCUUCUCAUUUUUGAGGAAAUAAUAUGUGAUUGUUAUGCACAUAGUGACCUUGCAAAAUUCUUACAUUUCAUUCAAUGGAUCUUUCAACCCAAAUUUUUCUCAGAGCUACUACUAAUUUCUCUACUUAUUAGAUACCAUAGUGAUGGUUUUAUGACUCUCCCUGGUGAAAUUCCACCUGUUUUCUACAAAGGAACUACUAUGCAAACUGUGAACUUUUGUUGAUGAUGAAGGUAUCCACUAUCAAUAAGCAAUUCAUGUUGAAAUAUGACAACAUAUUUCAGAGAAAUAUCAUUUUAUAAAGAGAGAAUUACCUUUAUCUAUAUUGCUUUAUCAUAGAUGCCUUCUAAGAAAAUAUCGUCAGUUUUCAAAGACUCUGCAAAUAGCACUAGUAUAGAAUAUGGUUUCCCUCUUCUCUUUAAUUUUUUCUUCUUCCCCCUCUCUCUCUUUCUUUAUUUCUAGAACUUUGGUUCCAUGAAGAUCUUGCUACCUUUGUAAGCUGUUAUACCAUGGAAAACUCUUACUUUCCUUUCCUUUCUCUUAUUUUCUCCAGGUUACAUUCCUACUUUACAAAUACAAAUUACAUGCUAGAUUUAAUAAAUUACUUCUAUAAAGUUAUUUCCUACUUUACAAACAUACUAAAUCAUGAAAAAUCUCAACAAAGACAAUAAAUCUUGAUGCCAAUGUAGACAUUCUGUCUGAUUCUAGUUCUUAUUAAGUUCUUGCUUCAAAUUAUGCUAAUGGCACAAUUUACCUAGGUUAUCAAACAUAAUUUUACUAAUAGCUGGUUCACUGACACAUAUAUUCCUCCUCUCUCUGUUUCAGCUUUGACUUAUAAGACAUCUUUUGUUUUUCUUUAGGUUACUGUGUUCCUCAAUGAUAUAUGUGUAGAUUUGAGGAUUUAGGAUACCACGGUUUGGUCAUUAUUAUUGGUAUAAGUAGGGUCUCCUAUUCAUUUUUUUUCUUUUUACUUUUUGUUUAUUGGGAAUUAUCUUUAUUUACAUUUCAAAUGUUAUCCCAUUUCCUCUUUUCCCCU